GUCGAGCGAUGAAAUCUUAACAGAACCCUUCGGGGCGAAGAUAAGACGGAUCAUUGGCGGACGGGUGAGUAACACGUGAGUAACCUGCCUUUUACACAGGGAUAGCCUCGGGAAACCGGGAUUAAAACCUGAUGAAACUAUCAAAUCACAUGAUUAAGAAAGUUAAAACUCCGGUGGUAAAAGAUGGACUCGCGUCCCAUUAGCUAGUUGGUGAAGGUAACGGCCCACCAAGGCAACGAUGGGUAGCCGGCCUGAGAGGGUGAACGGCCACAUUGGAACUGAGAAACGGUCCAAACUCCUACGGGAGGCAGCAGUGGGGAAUAUUGCACAAUGGGGGAAACCCUGAUGCAGCGACGCCGCGUGAGCGAAGAAGGCCUUCGGGUCGUAAAGCUCUUUUAUAUGGGAAGAUAAUGACGGUACCAUAAGAAAAAGCCCCGGCUAACUACGUGCCAGCAGCCGCGGUAAUACGUAGGGGGCUAGCGUUGUCCGGAAUCACUGGGCGUAAAGGGUUCGCAGGCGGCAAUGCAAGUCAGAUGUAAAAGGCAAAGGCUCAACCUUUGUAAGCAUCUGAAACUGUAUAGCUUGAGAAGUGUAGAGGCAAGUGGAAUUUUUAGUGUAGCGGUGAAAUGCGUAGAUAUUAAAAAGAAUACCGGUGGCGAAGGCGACUUGCUGGGCACAAUCCGACGCUGAGGAACGAAAGCGUGGGGAGCAAACAGGAUUAGAUACCCUGGUAGUCCACGCCGUAAACGAUGAGUGCUAGGUGUCGGUAUAAAUCGGUGCCGC
rnacentral:rRNA from 1 species